GACAAUCACCUUAUAAGUGGUGAUAGAAUAGAAAAUCAAUAUUAACUGGAUUGUUGAAAGAUGUAAGAUGGAAGAAAAAGUAAAUCAUCUAAUUAAUAAUGAAAAAGAGUGGGAAAUUUUUUCCAAAUGAAUCACAUACAGAACACUUUAAGGCAGAAACAUAACUUAACGGUUCUUGCCUUACUCUCUAUUCAUCCAAAUUAUUGCCAAUGAGUAAAAAGAUGUUAGAGAAAAGAAACAAGCAACCAGUGCAAGUUAUGCCAAAAAUUUCUAACUUGUUGUAACCUUCACAUGUUAAAAACUCACGGAGAGGAAAAAAAGAUGAGGAUAAAAAUGAAAAGAAACAAAAAAAAUUUAAUUAAUUUUUUUCUCUUUUUGAGAAAAACAAAAAAAUUUUUUUCGAAAACAGUGUCGCCAUCUCUUGAAUAGUCUACUCACUGAUUCCAUUUUCUUUUACCGGCAAAAUGAAUCAUUAAUGUUAAUCUGUUGAUUGAUCUUCGGAUUAAAAGUUAAUCUAUUUUGAUCUCAUUUUAUAUUCUAAUUGUCGGUUAUAUUGUUUUAUUAUCUAACUGGGAAUUUGGUGGUUCCUUAGUUUUCAAUCAAAGUGGAAAAGAUUUUAUUCUAAAUUGUCUGUUUUUGUUCUGUGUCUCUUCAUCUAUUCAAAGUGUCAAUAUAAUGAACUGAUUAACCACUUGACGAUUUUAAGUGUAAUAAACCUUGUAUGAAAAGGAUAUCAAUUGAUUAUAAUCGUAAUCAAAAUUGAUCUUGAAUCAAUGCCAAACAAUCAAUUGUCUGUGAGACACUAAUAUAAAUUAACAUGGAAUCCAUGUCAUGGAUCAUAAAAAAGACUUUCUUUCUUCUCCCCUAUAAACAUUAAUGGCGAUGAUUUAAUCUGUUGACUUGUUUUCCAUUUUCUAUAAUAUUGUCUUUGUCUUGGAUUACAAAUUCUAUUCUAUUCUUUUUGGUUGAUUCUUUGAACAAUUGACUGACUUUGGUUUUUCACUGUUAAUUGGUUACCAUGUUGUGGAAUGUGGAAUUUUCCAUGGAUGUUAUUCGUUUGUGAUACUCUUUACAGAUUUUAAUCAAUUCAGCUGAUUCAGGAAAAAAUAGAGAAAAGAAUGUUACUGGUUAAACACUAGGAAUUGGAGGAAUCAAAUGUUCCAUCAUGAAAAGAUUUGUGUUACCAUCGUUUCUUGCAUCAAUAUGCUUUGGUUGGCCUGUUCUCUCACGAAUUACUCGUUUUCUUUCUUGGGCUUUUCUUUCUUGUUCUCGUUUCAAUUCUUCGGCAGCUUUGCGUCUUAAUAAUGCCUAAGAGAAGACCAAAUUUAAUCAGCAUCACCAUUGAAACAAUUGAUUUAUCUCUUUCGUUCUCUCUCUCUUACCCUUAAUUUUUUCUUUCUAUCUGGUGUUAGAAAUCCUCUUUUUCCUUUGGCAGCUUUUGCCUGUUCUUCCAACCGUCUUCGUACUUCUGCCUUCUUCCUCUCCUUGUCUUCUCGCCUGUAACGUUCAUCCUAACAAUUAACAGUUAUCAAGAUGAAAACGACGAAAUAAUCAAGCAAAAAAAAAGGAACAGGAUUACAAUCAAAUUUAGGAUUUAAAAUUAACCAGUGAAAACUAAUCCAUUCUGAUUCUGGAUUCCAUAAAUACAUACACAUGUACAUAUCAAAAGGAACCAUAAAAACCUUAAAUGAGCCAAAAUAAUGAAAAUGUUACAUGUAAAUGAGAUUCGAGUCGAACAAAAAAGUUCUGAGUAUUUUUGUUAUUCUCAAAAAUUCAAACUCAUUUAUCUCAUUCAUAAUUCAUAACCUGAAUCUCUGGAUAACCUAAAAAAGCAAAUGAUAAUCCAGAUAAUCAUCAUCAUCUCACAAAGUCAAAGUGUUACCGAAUCUCAACAAUCAACAACAAAGUGUAACAAUUAAUGGAUUUUCAUACAUGGUAUAUGGUAGAUAUCAGAGUAUAUAAGUUGUCUAAAUGAUUAGAAGGAAAAAGAAGUUAAUUGUCACCAUUGGUGUCAGAAACUCUGUCAGCAAUCAAAGAAACUUUUUUCUUUCACAAAAUGAAGAUGGAGAGAAAUGAUAAGAUGAACAAGAAGAUUUUCUCUCAUCUUUUUCUUUUCUUCAUCAUCACCUUCUUGGUUUUUUUUCUCUUCACAUCCUCAUCAUCUUCAUCAACUUCUCAAGAUUCUGAAAAUUCUGAAAAUUCUGAUAUUUGUCAGAUUGGCAAGAAAUCAGUUUCUGUCUCAUUUUCAUGGAAACUUUUUUAUGCUUCCAUUGUAAACAAUGAGGCGUAGACAAAUAAACAAUCAGUCAACAGGAUUAACAAGCAUUAUAAUAACUAGACAACAAUUAACUAUUACAAUCAUUAAACCAUAACUUAAUCAACAA